rnacentral:rRNA from 1 species
AUUGAACGCUGGCGGCAUGCCUAACACAUGCAAGUCGAGCGAGCGGCGGACGGGUGAGUAAUGCCUGGGAAUUGCCCAGUCCAGGGGGAUAACAGUUGGAAACGACUGCUAAUACCGCAUACGAUUUGAUUGCCCAGGUGGGAUUAGCUAGUUGGUGAGUUAAUGGCUCACCAAGGCGACGAUCCCUAGCUGGUCUGAGAGGAUGGUCGGCCACACUGGGAAUGAGACACGGUCCAGACUCCUACGGGAGGCAGCAGUGGGGAAUAUUGCACAAUGGGGGAAACACUGAUGCAGCCAUGCCGCGUGAGUGAAGAAGGCCUUCGGGUUGUAAAGCACUGUCAUCGAGGAGGGGUUACUCAAAGAAGAGGCGACGGCUAACUGCGUGCCAGCAGCCGCGGUAAUAC